rnacentral:rRNA from 1 species
GUGCCAGCAGCCGCGGUGAUACGUAGGGUGCGAGCGUUGUCCGGAUUUAUUGGGCGUAAAGGGCUCGUAGGUGGUUGAUCGCGUCGGAAGUGUAAUCUUGGGGCUUAACCCUGAGCGUGCUUUCGAUACGGGUUGACUUGAGGAAGGUAGGGGAGAAUGGAAUUCCUGGUGGAGCGGUGGAAUGCGCAGAUAUCAGGAGGAACACCAGUGGCGAAGGCGGUUCUCUGGGCCUUUCCUGACGCUGAGGAGCGAAAGCGUGGGGAGCGAACAGGCUUAGAUACCCUAGUAGUCC